AAUUCCUUAUAGCACUGCCUUCUUUGUCUUUAUUUUGCUCUUCACACAAGCAUGACCACUGCUGGUCUUUGAGGUGAUGGCAGGUACGUACAUGCGUGCAGCUAUGGUAGAUGCAUAUAUGGUAAACAAGAUGUCCAAAUUCAAGUCUCAAGGAAGAGGACAGAGGCCACAAUAAAAAGGUAUGUAUGUCAUUCAGUUCAUCCAUCUGAUUUUGGGUCCGAAGGAGAUGCCAUGGGUUAUCGCGCCGUCCUACUACUAUGAGACUUCCAUCUCCUUUCAUGCAGUCAUACAACCGGACAUGAUGCCUCCACACUUGUACUGGAUGUCUUGCAUGGCCUCUCUUAGUCUCCGUCUAUCUCACAACCUGGAUUGUUUCAAGAAAAUAGCUGCCACCUUAAAAUCCUAGGAGACUAGCCAAUUGGUGAGCAAUCCGUUGCCCACAAGGCCACCCUGCUUCAGAUAUUUCGUGGUUGGUGAUGAGUAGAUCGAUCCAUCAAUCCUAUGUUCAUGGCGGUCAUGUACAUACGCAGGAUUGUGGCAGCAUGUGUGGUCUUGGACUACGAAAAAAGGCAAACACUUAUUAUUACUACAGGAUAUACCCACAAACUUCAUGACGGUUCUAAUAAACAUACAAUGUUCAUUGGUUAGCGGAGUUAGGAGUAGAGCUAUUCAAAAAUAUUUACUCCUGCCUAUAUGUUUAUUCUACAUCUAAUUCUCACAUUAUACAUAUGUUGUACUAUAAAGGCAUCUAAAUAAUAGCAUGAUUAGGAGAAGAAGGCAAUCUAACAGAAAACAUGACUGAAUGAAUAAUAUGUUGUUUCAUAAAAAUAACGAUAUCUUAGAUAUAGAUGUAAUUAAAUAUAUAUUAAUCUUCUGUACGGUCAGAGUAAGGGUCUCUCCAGUAUUACUCCAUCCAAUUCUAAAUAUAUGUC
rnacentral:lncRNA from 1 species